rnacentral:lncRNA from 1 species
AUCAACUAUGGCCUGAGUAUGAUACACUUAUCCAUGGUUUAAACAGAAUAUAUUGUUUUCAACUUUGAAAAUUAAAAUAUGGAAAUCCAGAUGCAGAAAUGUGAGAAGAGUGGAAGGUCAGGUGACCUUGCCUGUCACGAAUAUGAAGGUCAAGGUUUGUGAAUUGUGAAAUGUCCAAGAGAACCUCACUGAAGCAAAGAAUGGAGAAAGAACGCAUUUGGCCCUGGGAGGGUGCAGGGGUGAAUGGUGCAGGAGCUAAAUCUUUAUCAUACCCAGAAAUCAACAGCCACUAUUUGAAAUCAUCUAAAUUCACGCUGCUAACCUUCAGUGUACACACGAAUCACCUGGGGAUCUUAUUAAAAGCUAGUUUCUGAUUCACUAAAUCUGUGUGCAGUGGAAGUUGAGGGCAGAGAAGCUCCCAAGGGUGUCAAGCUGGCCCUGAACCAGACUUUGAGGGUUAAGGUCCCAAAUGGCAUCGCCAGCACCAGGGACAGACACUAAAAUUGUAGAAAUCGUGUCAAGAAAUGAACAGCCUCUAAGUCACAUGUUGAAUGUGAAAGAAAUCAGGGUGUGUACGUGUGUGUGUGUGCACGUGUGUGCCUCUGUUUGUCUCUGUGCAUGUAUGUUUCCAUGUGUGCACAUGUGUGUAUGUGUCUGUGCAUGUGUGUUUCUGUGUGUGUGCCUGUGUGUGUAUUGGCUUAGAUCUGUUCGAGACUUUUUAUUUGAUGAGAUCGAUAUAUG